CAUUUUUGUGCUACGAAUGUCAAAAUUUCAGGAUUUGUUAAGUAUUAGAGAGGAUGAAUUUAAUAGUUUUUUUUGUUUUUGUGUUUUAUUUUUGGGUUUUUAAU
rnacentral:sRNA from 1 species